UUUAACCUACGGGGCGCAGCAGUGGGGAAUAUUGCACAAUGGGGGAAACCCUGAUGCAGCGACGCCGCGUGAAGGAAGAAGUAUUUCGGUAUGUAAACUUCUAUCAGCAGGGAAGAAAAUGACGGUACCUGACUAAGAAGCCCCGGCUAACUACGUGCCAGCAGCCGCGGUAAUACGUAGGGGGCAAGCGUUAUCCGGAUUUACUGGGUGUAAGGGGAGCGCAGGCGGUGCAGCAAGUCAGAAGUGAAAGCCCGGGGCGCAACCCCGGGACUGCUUUUGA
rnacentral:rRNA from 1 species